CUUUGCCUCCCUGUUACUGCGGGACCUCGGGUGUCUGCACCCUCUGAGCUCUGGUUUCCUCAUCUACAGGACAAGGUGCUGCCCCUCGGGGUCUCCACCACGGUGUGACCUCCUCGGAGCGGGCAGUGCAGAGUGCAGGACUGGAGCCGGGGCAGGAGUGGGCACUGUCCUCGGCCCCUGUCCACACCCUCCCUGCCUCAGCAUCACACGCCAUCUCCCCGUGGCUGGUGCAGCGCAUGUUCCGCAGCCUGGAUGGCAUCCUCAUUGGCUGGAACCUCCGCUACAGGCCUGCGUGGACCUCGUGGGGCUCGGGGUCGCCAUGCAAUUUUUAGGCCCUGGAGAGGGCCGUGAAGGUGUCCACCCAGGAUCGCGUCCCCCCCCUCUGUCUGUCCCACGAGUGCCUGUGGGGAGGGCCGGCCACUGCAGCACGCAGCGGGGUUCCUGCUCUGCAGGAGCAGCUGCAGAGGGCCGAGGGCCAGGAGGGAGGAGCAGUGUCCUGGUGAAGCGUCUGGCUCUGUUCACCCCAUGUCGGGAGAGGUGGCGAGGGAGGCUGUGGCUCGUGGGAAAUGCAAGAGCUUUGUGGACGCUUCCUCAGGAAGUGAGCGGGUGGAGGCCAAGUGGCACUGUGGCCCGGGUCCCUGCUGGGAACGUGGCCCAGGAGGGGUGCAGAGUUGGAAGAGCCAGUGCAGCCUGGAAACCUGUGGGAAAAUAUCCUGCAGGGUUCCUGUGGCUGGGCGGGGCGCAGCAAGAGUCGGGCCCAGACUCUGCAGGACGGCCCGGAAGCAGGUGCUCGCUCAAGCCGGGGAAGGUGGGUUCCCGGUUCCCGUGUGGGUGCUGUCCCCUCCUCUUAGCCGCAGGGACGAUACCAUGGGUGAGGAUCCCAGGCCGGGUGGGAUGGAAGGACCAGGAUCGGGACCAGAGCAGGAGAAGGCUCCUGCUGGAGCCUCACCGCCUGGCACUGGCGCCCCUCUGCUCCCCUAGUCUGUUAGUGCUGGGGGGUGUUGUGUCCCCUGCUAUUCUCCUUCCUUCAGAAUCGUGCAGAUUCAUCGCACAAACACGUAGAUACAGACAAGCAGAAGAAACUGCCUCCCACCCUGUAGUUCCAUCCUCAGACUUAGCCCCUGACCUGUGGGCUGUCACCGGCAUGUGUGCAGGUGUUUUCAUGGCGGGGAGACCUGAGUUGACAGUGCUGUGGGCAGUGGCCCGUGCCGGGGCUGGGUGAGUCUUGCAGACCCAGGCCAAGCACUCCGCCCAACCCCGGGGCGCUGGUCUCAGUUCAGACCAAGCAGCGCGACUGCUGGGUGCCAGGCACGCUGGUGCCCCGGGGACUGGCCCCACUCCCAGCCUGGCUGGUGCCUCUGUCAGGAGCAGAGUGAGCAGCCCAGGGGCGCAUGUGGUUGGACUGGGGGCUGAGCAAUGUGGAUGUUGCAGAGCUCCCUGGGCCUCCUCCACCUCUACCGUAGGGCUCGUUCGCGCCCACCGAGGAGUGCGUGCCGGGGCAGCGCCUGCUGCUGGAGUGUCUGCUCGCCUUUGCCAGCAGCCUGAAGCCGGAGCAGGCUUCUCCCUCUGGCCGCUCCCAGGCCGCCGCCCCCUGGAGGAAUUCACACAGUGGGUGCAGGCCAUGGGCUGGCUCCUGUGGCUUCUGGCUGCUGCCGUCACCCUCCCCCUGGCCAGGUGUCACGCACAGCCCCUCUGCCCAGGACACGGGGCACGGCAAGGCGCUGCAGGGCUGGGGCUGCGCAGCCCUGACCCCUCUCAAGCCUGUCUCCUCGCCCCCCAGCUGCUGGCCCCUGGCUGCAGCUGCUCCCCAGGCCUUCCCUGCAGCCCUGCCCUCUGCAGUGCAAAGAGCCACGUUGGCCAGAGAGGGGCCCCAUCCUGCUGCUCUCUUGUCCCUUCAUCCACAGGGGCAGCAGAAGUGGGAGCUCGGCACUAUGGCAAUCUGCUCCCCACCCCCCAUCCGUCAGGAGAAGGGCAGGGACCCAGGCCUGACUCCUGGCCUGACUGGGGCCUGCCGAGCGGGUGACUUGUGUAGGGCUGAGGUCAGGUGCACACAGGAGCCAUACUGGCUUGGCCACCUUCGUGCUGUGUGUCCUUGGGACUUUCCUUACCCUCUCUAAUGUUGGUUUCCUCUCUGAAGAGUGGGUCUAGCUCCAGGGGUGCCCAGCGCUCUCCAGCGGCAGAGCCUCGCCUCGCUAACAGAGGUGCUGGGUGAGCAGCAGGUGACCCCCCUCCCCUGCAGGGCUGCUGUCCCGAGGUUUGUCCAGCAGAAGCUCUACCUCUUCCUGCAGCACUGCUUCGGCCACUGGCCCCUGGAUGCGUCGUUCAGAGCCCUGGGAGAAGCCCGCUGGCGAUCCUGGCUUCCAGAGGGCUGCGCCGGGCCUGCCUGUUGUGUCUCUGGGGAUGCGGGAAGAGCCCACCACUCCCCAGCAUCUGCACUGAGGUCAAGGAGAAGCUGCCAGAACCUGGAGUGGACCCCCUGCCUAGCUGUGUUCUGGGAGCCGGGCUCCAGGCUACUGGAGGAUGUGACUAGAAGCCCAGAGCCCAGCCCCACGGCCACCAGCCGCUGGGCCCUUAACUCCUGAGCUGGGCACAGCUGGUGUUAGCCUCCCUGUCACCCUUCUACUGCUUAUCCUGAAGGGUUCUGCACCCUGAGGAUGAAGUUCCUCCCUGUGCAGAGGUGACCAGGCUGAGGACACGCUGUCAGGAAUGGCUCAGUCCUCCUCAAAGCUGCAGAUCCUUGGCAGGUCCUCAGGUGGUGGCAGCAGAGAUAAGCGACAAGAGCGGAGUCAUCUGAGGUGAUGUUGGACACAGACAGUGGCAAGAAAGUGAUGGGCACACAGAGCGCACAGGGUAGGCGGAGUGUCUACUCUUCCAGCAUCUGAGCACUGUGUCAAGCCUGCCCCAUGUCUGGCCAUCGUGGUCAGGGUCAGCCUCCUCUUAGGACAGGGUCCAGGAAACCCUCAGGGACUGUUUCUUGCCAGACUUGGGGCCAGAAGUUCCAUCUCUCAUCUGGUGAGACCGUAACUCCAAGGUCACAUGUUUGUAGGGCUCCUGCCAGGCUUUGUCCCCAGGCCAGACUGACCGUCUCUGUGUUGCUGCUCGUCCUGCUGCAGAUGAUGAUGCUCCUGAGCCCAGCACCGUGGGAGGAGGAGUCCGAGCAGCCUGGAAGCAGGAAGCUGAAAGAGACAGAGACAGCUGAGGGCCGGGGUCCCUCCUCACUGUGUGCCUAACCUGUGUCACUUGAGGAGCCAGAGCUUAAAGUCUGAGGCUGACAGAGGGGUUGGGAAGUGAGGGGUGCCUGCAGAAAGGAGAGAGUCGCUGAGUGUGGGAGCCCCGGAUCCUGAAAAGACACGGACAGCAAAGCCCUGGACUAUGCACGUGUAGAAAGACUUUGAAAAGCCGAGCUACAGACUCAUUGUUCAUAUCCUCGCAUGAUCCACUGAGGAAGCCCUUGGAGCAAAGGGAAGUCCCCACACGGCCGCACUGCUGCGGGGUGAGGUCAGCGUGGGUGCUCCAGGAGGUGCCUGGGCUGUGCAGGAGGACGGGCCCCUGUGCUGUGCUGGGCACCGCCGUGCCGCUUCUCCCCAAGCGGGAAACGAGCUGCUGAGGAGGGUGAUUGGAGCCACCAGACACCUGGGUGCAGAGCUGUCAAACUCACACUGUCCCCCCAGAGCUCUCGACUCUUCUCGGGCAGUGGAGGUUGUCUCCCGUCCUGGGGGCCAAACUAAUCUAGGAACAAAUUGCUAGAAUAAUAUAUAUUAGUUAAGUUAAACAAGUCAGCCUGUGAUUAAAAGACUUUUCCAAAUGUCAGAAACUUGUGAUCUAAAGAUUGAAAGCCCUGAAACAUAACUGGCCGGCUGCCAUUCGAGAUUAACUCUUUGUCCUGGCCAACUUCCUGGGCUGCGACUAUUCCGAGUGUGACUUAAACACAUAUUUUCAGUUUUUGCAACAGGGCCUCUCAACCUUGGCGCUAUUGACAUUUUGGGCUGGAUAUUUCUUUGUUGCAGGGGGCUGGCCUGUGCACUGCAGAUGUUUCCAGCAUCCUUGGCCUCUGCCCACUAGAGGCCAGGGCAUAUGUCCCAUCUGCCCCCAGUGGUGACAACCAAAAAUGUCUCAGGCAUUGCCAAGUGGCCCUGAGGGACAGAAGCACCUGCGGUCCAGAACCGCUGGUAAUUAAACGUGUCCGUAAAUAUGAAUCAUGAUAUCACGGAGGUCAGGCCUCUGUGCCUCAGAGGAGGGAAUCGGUAACUACGAUAGUUUUCCAGGAAAGACAUGCCCAGAGAGACCCCAGCAGACCUGUGCCUUUGCUGGGAAAUCCUCAAUGGCUUUGCCCAAGUCUUGCCACCGCUGGGCACAAGACUGUGCAAAGGGCUGAUUUAUACAGUCAGCUUUCAGGCUGGCCUGGAAGACAGGACAAGGUGAAAAAACCAUGAGCGUAUUUGCCCUGCAGCUGUUGGUGGUAUUUUGGCUCGAGUCAAAACAGAAAUCCAAGUGAGGUGUGUCACUCAGACAUACAGCCAUUGCCUUGUCCCCAGCUCCUCACACAUGGGGUUGUGCGUGUGCCAGUGGCCCACAGUAUGCCACCAGAAGAGAGGCUGCGGUUCUGUGCUCGCUAGACCCGCAGUGCUCGGGCUGGCUUCCCGGCACCCUUCCACAGGCGGCCAGUUACCUCGGAGCGUUGCACAUCAGCAGAAGAAACGAACUGACUUCCGCUGAUCCACAAGCAGGGAGUCAGCCCCAGGUUCAGCCGGCAGCAGCAGAGGACCCGUACAAUGUAGGGCACCUCUCACACCACAGUGAGCCCACUGGGUUUGCACACGUGAACUGCAAAGUUCCCACCUGACUGACUACCCGUGAUCACACAGCCACGAUCGUGAGAAUGUCCAUCUGAAUGAGGGCACAGCACAAGCCCUCUUAACCGAGCUGGGCCUUAAUCAGUAGUGAACCUUCUGAACUCAUGCCCUUAAAACACAGGGCAGGCUCAAAUGACAGAUGGCUUUGGCCAAACAGACACUAGUCAUGAAGGCAAUGGACAGGCUGGACAACAUUCAGGACAAGGACUAUGGAAAUGUACCCGAGGCCAUGGGAUGUGGGGAAAGCACCCUGACUACACAGAGAAAAGAGGUCUCUGUGCAAACAGACUAAGAUUAGGAGGAAAUACCCAAAUUUCCACCUCCAGGGCUUUCCCAAGGAUAGCUAAGGCCUUGCUUACCUCCAAAGGAGGGUGGAUUUCACAGGGCUGAGUAAGAAACUGAGACCUGAGCUAUCAGGCCACAGGUCAGACCUGCUGGCUAUAGUGGGGCACACCCAGGAACAAUGUUCUUCCAAAUAAGUGUUUACACUGUAAUCCUAGCACCCAGGGAGGCUGAGGUAGGAGGAUCCCUUGAGCUCAGGAGUUGGAGACCAG